GGGCCAUUAGCUCAGCUGGUUAGAGCGCCUGCUUUGCAAGCAGGAGGCCGCCGGUUCGAAUCCGGCAUGGUCCA
rfam:Candidatus Thrbacteria bacterium RIFCSPLOWO2_01_FTLL_53_9 rifcsplowo2_01_scaffold_62424, whole genome shotgun sequence.